rnacentral:rRNA from 1 species
GGAGGGUGCAAGCGUUAAUCGGAAUUACUGGGCGUAAAGCGCACGCAGGCGGUCUGUCAAGUCGGAUGUGAAAUCCCCGGGCUCAACCUGGGAACUGCAUUCGAAACUGGCAGGCUUGAGUCUCGUAGAGGGGGGUAGAAUUCCAGGUGUAGCGGUGAAAUGCGUAGAGAUCUGGAGGAAUACCGGUGGCGAAGGCGGCCCCCUGGACGAAGACUGACGCUCAGGUGCGAAAGCGUGGGGAGCAAACAGGAUUAGAUACCCUGGUAGUCCACGCCGUAAACGAUGUCUACUUGGAGGCUGUGCCCUUGAGGCGUGGCUUCCGGAGCUAACGCGUUAAGUAGACCGCCUGGGGAGUACGGCCGCAAGGUUA